rnacentral:rRNA from 1 species
GAUGAACGCUGGCGGCGUGCCUAACACAUGCAAGUCGAGCGAUUCUCUUCGGAGAAGAGCGGCGGACGGGUGAGUAACGCGUGGGUAACCUGCCCUGUACACACGGAUAACAUACCGAAAGGUAUGCUAAUACGGGAUAAUAUAAGAGAGUCGCAUGGCUAUCUUAUCAAAGCUCCGGCGGUACAGGAUGGACCCGCGUCUGAUUAGCUGGUUGGUGAGGUAAUGGCUCACCAAGGCGACGAUCAGUAGCCGACCUGAGAGGGUGAUCGGCCACAUUGGAACUGAGACACGGUCCAAACUCCUACGGGAGGCAGCAGUGGGGAAUAUUGCACAAUGGGCGAUAGCCUGAUGCAGCAACGCCGCGUGAGCGAUGAAGGCCUUCGGGUCGUAAAGCUCUGUCCUCAAGGAAGAUAAUGACGGUACUUGAGGAGGAAGCCCCGGCUAACUACGUGCCAGCCGCCGCGGUAACAC